CGGCGGACGGGUUAGUAACACGUGGGUAACCUACCUAUAAGACUGGGACAACUUCGGGAAACCGGAGCUAAUACCGGAUAAGAUAUCGAACCGCAUGGUUCGAUAGUGAAAGAUGGUUUUGCUAUCACUUAUAGAUGGACCCGCGCCGAUUAGCUAGUUGGUGAGGUAACGGCUCACCAAGGCAACGAUACGUAGCCGACCUGAGAGGGUGAUCGGCUACACUGGAACUGAGACACGGUCCAGACUCCUACGGGAGGCAGCAGGC
rnacentral:rRNA from 1 species